ACAAGCUUUAUAAUUAAUCAUCAGCUAAGUGUGAACUCUUGAAACACAGGUGUUUACCAUGUUUGUCUAUGUACAUGUCACAUUUUCUACGUUGAAAUCCUUUGAUUUGUAUGCAUAUAAACUGACCUAUUUUUUUCUCAUACAAGAUAUGCAAGUGACAUGACCCUGCUUUGGGUAAUGGAGAGGGCAAGAGUUGAUUUCUGGUGGUGGAAGAUGAGGUACCCAGUACCCAGGCAAGAAAGUCCUACCAGUCAGCUUUGUUCUGAUGGAUUCGUCAAGAGGAGUAGGAUCCUGGCCUUUCAACACACAGAUAUUCAUGUCGCAGGUGUUGAUUGUGUAAAGAACUCUGUGGAGAAAAUGAGAUGGAAUCAGUAUUGAUAUUUCCACCAAACACUGCAACUUUAUUCAGAAGUACAGCAUGUCCACUUCAGGCUGAGGUUUGACCUUACGGCCGUUCUCAAACUGGCUGCCGAAGCUGGGAGUGUCCACAAAUGCUCCAGUGAGGGAAUAACCUGCUUCAUAUGGAGUGAUCUCGAACCAGGGGUCUGUAGAUGCAAAGCAGAGCAUUAUAACAGCUGACGUGGAUCCAGAGACUCCGCUCAGAUAGAGCACACAGUCCAGAAGACCUGCUUUAUCAAGCUGAUCCAGGCAUCCCAGCAAUCCCACCAUGGCUCUUUGUCCUCCUCCAGAACCCAGUAAUGCAAUGUUUGGCACAUUUUCCUGAAAACACACACACAUUCGUCAACUACAACUCCAUUUGUUUCUGCGCUCUCCGCACCCUGUCAUUAUCAGAGAACCACACUUAAAACUGUGAGGAACUACUGAUAAGAAUCCCACCCGUGUUAAUGGUGAUUGGCCUGGUGACACAGUCGGCAGAUUUUAACUGAUAUGCUACUUGUGUGAAUUACAUUCAAAAGGUUCUCAAAGAAGAAACUCUGGAUUGGGUUUUAAUCCCUUUCGGUUAGAUCCAGUUAUGUAAGGGCAGCCGCUAGGUCUCCUCCGUGGGUGUGACUGGCACUGGUGAGGUGGUGGGACCCUUUAACGGUACAGCAUGUCCACUUCAGGCUGACGCUUGACCUUACUGCCGUUCUCAAACUGGCUGCAGAAGCUGGGAGAGCUCACAAAUGCUCCAGUGAGGGAAUAACCUGUUUCACGAGGAGUGAUCUCGAACCAGGGGUCUGUAGAUGCACAUUAUGCCAUUAAAACAGCUGAUAUGAGCACUUUAACACUUUUAUUCUGGUAUACACACCUCCAUCUCCAGACUGUUUGCACUGCUUGUCGAUCACGGUGAAGAUGGGAAACGGGUCUUUCUUGUGCUGCUCCCGCUGGUCACUGAGUGUGCUCUCGUCAAUCUGUAGAGAAUACAGUGCUUAGCAUAAAUGAGUACACCCGUCUCUUGCAAAUAAACACUUCUAUCCAUC